GACGAACGCUGGCGGCGUGCUUAACACAUGCAAGUCGAACGGAAAGGCCCUGCUUUUGUGGGGUGCUCGAGUGGCGAACGGGUGAGUAACACGUGAGUAACCUGCCCUUGACUUUGGGAUAACUUCAGGAAACUGGGGCUAAUACCGGAUAGGAGCUCCUGCUGCAUGGUGGGGGUUGGAAAGUUUCGGCGGUUGGGGAUGGACUCGCGGCUUAUCAGCUUGUUGGUGGGGUAGUGGCUUACCAAGGCUUUGACGGGUAGCCGGCCUGAGAGGGUGACCGGCCACAUUGGGACUGAGAUACGGCACAGCCUCCUACGGGAGGCAGCGGUGGGGAAUAUUGCACAAUGGGCGGAAGCCUGAUGCAGCAACGCCGCGUGCGGGAUGACGGCCUUCGGGUUGUAAACCGCUUUCGCCUGUGACGAGGCGUGAGUGACGGUAAUGGGUAAAGAAGCACCGGCUAACUACGUG
rnacentral:rRNA from 1 species